rnacentral:rRNA from 1 species
ACAAGAGCCCGUAGUCGAAUCGCCUCUAGAGGUGAGUGUGACGUUUAGCCGGGCAAGUAGACGGGAAUUGGUGACAAAACGGUUGGAAUACCGUGCUUGAGAGGGUGAUAGCCCCGUUGUUCACCAACAAGCGUCGUCAACAUUGCCCGGCUAACAGACGAGUCGGAUAGCUUGGGAGUGCUGUCUAAAGACGUGUGGUACACUCCACAUGAGGCUAAAUAACGGCACGAAACCGAUAGCAUACAAGUACUGUGAAGGAAAGUUGAAAAGGCGUCUGAAAAGACGGUCAAAAGUACGUGAAACUGCCGGCGGGGAAGCGGAGUGGGUGUUUGGCCGUGUCUUGGUGCACGGGUAUGCAAUGAGGCGUGUGUUGGCCGGGUAAAGAGCGUGUCAUUAGUUGUCAAAAUAAUAACCAAUGAACCUCGGGGAGCCAGGCUGGCAUGUGCUCAUUCAACGGUAGAGAAGGCGACUCUCGCUGGUUUUGAACACUAGCGACUCGCUCUCACACUGCAUAAGGUAAACAUUCCAUCCGACCCGUCUUGAAACACGGACCAAGGAGGCUGAGGCGGCGACGAGUCGUGAGGUGGCAAACCUGACGGCGGAGUGAAAGCAACGAGCGUCACCCUGUCUGCGGAAGGAGAACAGGUGCAACGCUGACCUCCUACGCCCACGAACGAAGGAGAGACCAGUCGCCGCCGCAGGACCCGAAAGAUGGUGAACUAUGCCUGGCCAAGAUGAAGCCAGAGGAAACUCUGGUGGAGGUCUGAACAAGUUUUGACGUGCAAAUCAAUUUGGUGGGCUGGGUAUAGGGGCGAUAGACUAAUCGAACCAUCUAGUAGCUGGUUCCCUCUGAAAUUUCCCUCAGGAUCGCU